AGCAUUUUGAUGACAUUUGACCAUUACAAAGAAUAACUCAUUUUGCAGCAAUUGUGGACAACUAGAUUCAACUGAAGCUGAAACUGUUCCACUGGGAAAUGUGCUAAAAGAAAGGAGGAGUCAGAGUUCUUUAUUUGUGCAAAUAAGGGAGGUGAAAACCUUAUAUUCCUUAGAAUCACCCCCUAGGACUUGUUCCUGCAGGAUAUUUUUCACAGAACCCAUAUAGGCUUACUAAGGUGCCCAGGCAAUUUUAAAAAAACACACCUGCUUGUUAUCAGCAUUUUCUCUUGGACCAAUAUAAGCAUCCUGGUAGUAAGAAUCUCUUUUGCAGGAUUAGAUUUAGGCUGCAGAAGGCUGUUCUGUGUUUCACCUUUGUUGCUGCUUCACAAGUGCAGUGGGACAGCUUUCCCUUCCAGACCUGGCUCUCUUAUAGCGUAUUCCCAGGGUGCCACUUGAGGCGUGUCACAGAAAAGUCUCAGCAACCUGCGAGGAAGGGAAAUGGUUGGUCAAUGGAAACGCAGCAUUUGGAAAGGUGUGUGUUUGCUACUAAUUAAAACUCAUCGCCUGGGCUCCAGCUGGUGGCAUUACAAAUGGGAGGAGGGCUCCUGCAGCACGGUAGCUAAGUUGUUGGGACAGGAGGAAGAACUAAUCCUUAGAGGCAGUACAUUUAGGAGUAGCAAGGGCAUUACCAAGUUGGACUCUUGCAGAAAGUGCCCCGAUCUCACUGGGAAGAGGAUGCAGAGACCACAUGUGGUGACAUAAAGAAGACUCCAAAGGACUGUGAUGCACUGAGGAGGAGGAAAAAUUAUGCAAUAUUUGCAAAUAUCGAAACCCAUAGGAAAUGUAUUAUUAACUUUCAAAAGAGGAGAUCUAACGACUGAUAUCGAGGGCUGAAAGGAGCAACACAAACAUUUGCAUACACUGCUGCCCUAUUGAACUAUUGUCCAUGUUCUGUAUAUAGACUUACUUCUAUCAGCUUGUACAUUCUAGCUGCUGUAUUUCAUGUAGCACAUAAAAUAGACUUUAACCAAGAAGAAGGCUCCAAGCACCUCUCCAUAGUGGAAACAACUACUGUUUCAGUGCUGUUAUGGCUGCAGCAGACAAAACCUGUGCAUGAAGAAAUGAUUGGCACAAACAAUAGCUGUCUCUUUAGCAACUGUCACUUCAAUUUGUUAGUAGCAAUUCACGCCGGUUUGGUGAUAGUGAUUUACAGUAACUUCCCCCUUCACAAUUGAAUACAUCUAUAAAAUGGUUCCAUGACAAAUAAAGCGUAAUGGUUAUUUUUUAUAGGAAGCUUG
rnacentral:lncRNA from 1 species